UACGUAGGUGGCAAGCGUUGUCCGGAAUUAUUGGGCGUAAAGGGCGCGUAGGCGGCGAUUCAAGUCAGGCGUGAAAGGCCUGGGCUCAACCCGGGAACUGCGCUUGAUACUGGAUUGCUCGAGUCCGGGAGAGGAUGGCGGAAUUCCCAGUGUAGAGGUGAAAUUCGUAGAUAUUGGGAAGAACACCGGUGGCGAAGGCGGCCAUCUGGACCGGCACUGACGCUGAGGCGCGAAAGCGUGGGGAGCAAACAGG
rnacentral:rRNA from 1 species